AUUGAACGCUGGCGGCAGGCCUAACAAAUGCAAGUCGAACGAGUGGCGGACGGGUGAGUAAUGUCUGGGAAAAUGCCUGAAGGAGGGGGAUAACUACUGUAAACGGUAGCUAAUACCGCAUACCAUCAGAUGUGCCCAGAUGGGUUUAGCUAGUGGGUGGGGUAACGGCUCACCAAGGCGACGAUCCCUAGCUGGUAUGAGAGGAUGACCAGCCAGACUGUAACUGAGACACGGUCCAGACUCCUACGGGAGGCAGCAGUGGGGAAUAUUGCAAAAUGGGCGCAAGCCUGAUGCAGCCAUGCCGCGUGUAUGAAGAAGGCCUUCGGGUUGUAAAGUACUUUCAGCGGGGAGGCGUUACCCGCAGAAGAAGCACCGGCUAACUCCGUGCCAGCAGCCGCGGUAAUUC
rnacentral:rRNA from 1 species